AUCAUUUGGAGAAGGGCCUAGGCCCUCCCCCUGUGUCUAGGCUGACAGAGUAUCCCUUUAUGUGGAAUGGAAUGUGGAUCUGUUUUCCACAUUGAGAUGAUUGUUGAGCUGAGGUCUCACCGAUGAGCAUUUCAGUGAAUAUGGUGUGCAUGCACAUGGGUGUGUUUGGCAGUAUCUGUGUAUGUGUUACAGAAAAAGGAAUUAUCCAUAUAACUAAUUUCUCUGAAGUUUAGUGCAUAGAUACUAACUUGCCAAAUUCAAUUACCAUCUAGAAUUUCCUCCUUUACCAUGGACAUGUUGAAUUUCCUUAUAGUCAAAAGUUGGAAAUAAUCAUUGUUUGUCAAGGCUGCGAGACCAACAUACUGUCCAAUAAUUCUAAGAGCAAAUAAGAAAGGCAUAGAGUUUAUACACAAUAUUAUACAACUUUCAUUCAAGAUAAAAUUUUUAGUUUGCGUUGUUGCUAAACAUUUGUUAAUAUCACUGUUGGUGGUGACUUAUUUAAAUAACUAUUAUUCUUGUUUUUAUGUGACUAUUGAUGCUCCUCACUCAUUCCUAAAAAUAUGUAUAUAUAGGAGAGCACACAGUAGCACCAAGAGUAGUUUCAAAGUAUCAUUUUCACUAUUAUUCCAAACACUGUCCAAUCUUAAAUAAUGAAUCAAUUUAUCAAAUAAGUCUAUUGCACCUCAAUAGGGCCUGUUGGAAAGCCUGAUUGACAUGUUUUUCUUUUAAUUGUGAUAUCAUUAAAUGUUGGCAAUGAAUUCUAUGAUCUGCAACUUUGUAAAAUUCAACAUUGCUCUCUAGCAUGGAAGACAAAGUUUCUCAUAUUGCAUUUCUUUGAAUUAAAAAAAAUCAUGAUCUCAAAACAGAAUUGUGCUUAUCCAGUUCAUUAUUAUACAGCGUUUGUUCUCACAGUGAUUGUCAUUGAAUUAUAACUUGUAUUUACUAAACUCAGGUGCACUUAACUAUUUUUCUCACUUUGGUUUCCUUGAAAGCAUGGUGUACAAGAACUUACCGACUUAAGUAGAAAAAAAGACUCACAGAUGGAAUACUUAGCAUAAUUGUUAAGUGUGUAGUCUUAGAAACCCAGUUGAGGAUGAGGGAGGCUGAUCCUGAGCUCAGGGUACUAAUUUUGCUUUCGAACUUGACAAACUCCCAUUACCUGAUUCAGAUAAUGCUAAUCCGUUGCUAUUUCUCAUCUUGAUUUAUCCUUCCUUUUCCCCCAUUAUCCUGUAACAUAAGUCAUAUUUCAAUUUUAAGAGAAAUUCCCCAGAGUUUGUGAAGGAUAGUGUGCUAUAAAAUAUAGUAUUUCCAGAUACAUUGUAGACAAUGAGUGACACAUAAGACAGAGUAACUUACUUCAUUUUUCUUGAGAUGUUUUGUGUUGAUCUUCCUUUGUAGCUGAUGCUAAACAUACUGAAGGCAUGUCUCUGAGUGACCUUGUCUCUUCCUGUGACGCCAGGAGUGAUGCCAGAUGACUUAAUGAUGCUGGUGAUUAUGAACUCUACACUGGAACCAGCUAAAAACCAUUUACCCAGAAUGGCAUGCCUGCAAUGCACUGGACUGACACAAGAGGAAACAAGCACAAUUUGAGCAGAAGACUCAAUAAUGUUGGCAAUAAAAAGAAACUUCCACAUCUUCUUGGUCAGAUGUCUAUGUCAUCCCCUGUCAUAAUUGACUUUUGUCAACCUUACACAAAUGUACACACUGCUUGGAAGAGAAAAUUUCAAUUGAGGAUUAUCUCCAUCAGUUUGACCUCUGGAAAAUAUAGUAUGUUUGUCAAGUUGGCUGCUAAAACCUGGAUACAGUAUGUAAAUACUUCAUAAUACAGAAAGUAAGACUCCAAGAAUAACCAUUCAUUGUGAAGAAUAGUGGGGACAGAGAAGAAAAGGAAGAGGAAACCUAAUACAGGAGAAAACUGAGACUACCCUCACAAGAGGCCAAGGUGACUGAGUAUGACUUAG